AUUAUUCUGUCAAAUGUGAUGUUUGUUUAUUUAUAUUGUUUUGAAUUAAUCAUGUAUUAUCUUGUAGUUUAGAGAUUACAGUGAUGUGGUUUUUUUAGUUUUAGAAUGACAUGGUAGGGCUGAGGUAAGAGGCAAGCUCUGGUCAGUUUCAGUAUAAAACAGGUUAAAUAUUCUGGCCGGAUAUGGCCGGUUUGAAUGCUAAAGGGUUAAUUUAAAUAUUUUAAUAUUCUGCAGAU